UGGAAAUUCCAGGUUACUUUAUUUUCCGUGGGAGAUCUCAAAACCCUGAAAUAGGGUUUCCUAACCGCCAAACGAAAGAAAUCAGUUCCCACUUCUCUCGCAGAAAAGAAAAAUCGGAGAAAAUCAAAUCAAGAAUAGUUCAAUUUCAUGGGUGCAGAUAUUUCUAUAUGCAGUCACUGGCUUGGGGCACUGUUUUACGGUCAGGCUUUCUUUUAGCGUCAGCAUUGUGUAACUGAGGAGUCAGGAUGUUUCUUUCAUGUGUAAACUGAAGGCAAAAUAGUCAGUGGCUAGCCAGGAAUUGAAAUCAGGAAAAGCAUCUUUUGGUUGUAGUGCAUAAGUGAAUUACUGCCUUAAACAGUGCCUAGCUUCCUGUGAAUUUUAAAUGCAUCGCAGUGUAAGGUUGUGCUCGAUGACAUGGAGUGGUGUUUUGUGUUCUUUACUGCUUCUUUUCACUCUGGUUGAAUCUUCAAGCCGAUCAGGGGAAAUGUGGUCCAUCAGCCUGAGAGAUGGCUCAAACUUAUUGCACAGCUGGCCAAUCGUCAGUGCAGGAUCAUUUGUGCUCGUUGCUCUUGUGCUAUCCUUGUUUCUUAUUUUCGAGCACCUAGCCUUUUACAAUCAACCUGAGGAGCAGAAAUUCCUCAUUGGACUAAUUCUAAUGGUUCCUGUUUAUGCGGUUGAAUCGUUCUUGUCGUUAGUGGAUUCUAAGGCUGCUUUCAAUUGCGAAAUAAUGCGGGAUUGCUACGAGGCUUUUGCUUUAUAUUGCUUCGAGAGAUACUUGAUAGCAUGCUUAGGCGGCGAGGAAAGUACAGUUAAGUUUAUGGAGAGUUGCACUGAAAUUAAUUCCAGCACGCCUCUUCUAGAAGAAGCAUAUGCUGAUGGAGUUGUAAGACAUCCAUUUCCACUGAAUUGCUUGUUAAAAGAAUGGUAUCUUGGUCCUGACUUUUAUCAAGCUGUAAAAAUUGGCAUUGUUCAAUACAUGAUAUUAAAGAUGAUCUGUGCUUUGCUAGCUAUCAUUUUCCAAUUUUUUGGGAUUUAUGGAGAAGGGAAGUUUGAAUGGAGAUACGGCUAUCCAUAUCUAGCAGUUGUUCUAAACUUCAGUCAGACCUGGGCCCUAUAUUGCCUCAUACAGUUCUAUACUGUCACUAAAGAGAAGCUGGAACCCAUCAAACCCCUCGCAAAGUUUUUGACGUUCAAGUCCAUUGUAUUUCUAACAUGGUGGCAGGGUGUUGCAAUUGCAUUUCUCUUCUCUAUGGGUGCCUUUAAAGGGUCCUUGGCUCAAGAACUGAAAACACGCAUUCAGGGCUACAUCAUCUGCAUUGAGAUGGGGGUUGCUGCCGUUGUGCACCUUUACGUCUUCCCAGCCAAGCCUUAUCAACGUGGAGAAAGAUGCAUCCGCAAUGUAGCUGUAAUGGCGGACUAUGCAUCGCUUGGUGCCCCUCCAGAUCCUGAAGAGGUUAGAGACAGCGAAAAGUCAACGAGGAUGCACCUUGCUCGGCCUGACGAGAGAGGAAAGAGAUUAAGUUUCCCUCAAAGUGUUCGUGAUGUGGUCCUGGGAAGUGGUGAAAUUGUUGUCGAUGAUGUGAAGUUCACCGUUUCACAUGUGGUAGAACCUGUAGAACGAGGAAUUGCCAGAAUAAAUGAAACCUUGCAACAGAUAUCUGAGAAUGUGAGGCAGCAUGAGAAGCAGAAGAAAGAUUCUAAGGAUGAUUCUUAUCUUAUUCCUUUGCAUACAUGGACAAGUGAAUUUUCAGAAGCCCAUGAUCGUCUCCUUGAAGGAAGCGUCAGCGACAGUGGCUUGGGCAGUGGGAAGAGAAACCCACACCAUGCCAGGAGUACAGCUUCCAGGAUCAGAGAUCCUCAUAACUCUCAUGCUCAUUCUAGAUAAGAUUCACAAAGAAACAAUUUGGUACGACACUGUGUCUCCCGUUUUGCAUCUUUUUUCCUUUCUUUGCUUUUUCUUUUUUCUUUCUUUCUUUUUUAAUCCAGAGAAAGGAAAAGGAGAGGGCUUGUGUCAUAACAUGAUGUUUCGGAUGACUUGAGCAUUGUCAGCAGCGUGACCCAUUAAAGCUCUCCUGCGGAGGUGGGCGCAUAUACAAAAUUGACACUGUUGCAGUAGGUGCUAUUAACUCACAUUCAUCACCAACUUUAUUCUGGUUCUGAUCAUAUACAUUGACCCCAAAGCAAUGCUUGCUUGUAAAUUCAAUAAAGGCGUAGGUAGAUGUACAUUUUGUGUAACUUUCCCACAUAUAUUUAAAGCUGAUUUUUCAUGGAUUA